rnacentral:lncRNA from 1 species
UUCUAAGCAUUUUUCUAUAAAUAGGGUGCUUAGGUUAGAAUUGAAAAUCACACCAGAAACUGAAGUUUUCUCUCUCUAUAUUAUUGAGCGUAUUCUUGUGAGUAUUUUGAGUAUACUUUGAGUAUUGCUAUACGGUGCAAGUUCAAGUCAUAGCCUAUAUCCGGUGUUUCAACUAGAAGUACUGUCUUUCGAGGUAAGGGAUGUU